rnacentral:rRNA from 1 species
AGUGAACGCUGGCGGUAGGCCUAACACAUGCAAGUCGAACGGCAGCACAGUAAGAGCUUGCUCUUACGGGUGGCGAGUGGCGGACGGGUGAGGAAUACAUCGGAAUCUACUUUUUCGUGGGGGAUAACGUAGGGAAACUUACGCUAAUACCGCAUACGACCUACGGGUGAAAGCAGGGGAUCUUCGGACCUUGCGCGAUUGAAUGAGCCGAUGUCGGAUUAGCUAGUUGGCGGGGUAAAGGCCCACCAAGGCGACGAUCCGUAGCUGGUCUGAGAGGAUGAUCAGCCACACUGGAACUGAGAAACGGUCCAGACUCCUACGGGAGGCAGGAGUGGGGAAUAUUGGACAAUGGGCGCAAGCCUGAUCCAGCCAUACCGCGUGGGUGAAGAAGGCCUUCGGGUUGUAAAGCCCUUUUGUUGGGAAAGAAAAGCAGCAGGUUAAUACCCCGCUGUUCUGACGGUACCCAAAGAAUAAGCACCGGCUAACUUCGUG